rnacentral:rRNA from 1 species
CCUACGUGAGGCAGCAGUGAGGAAUAUUGGUCAAUGGACGCAAGUCUGAACCAGCCAUGCCGCGUGCAGGAUGACUGCCCUACGGGUUGUAAACUUCUUUUAUAAGCGAGAAAUAUGAUGGUAACUUAUGAAUAAGGAUCGGCUAACUACGUGCCAGCAGCCGCGGUCAUACGUAGGAUCCGAGCAUUAUCCGGAGUGACUGGGUGUAAAGAGUUGCGUAGGAGGCAUAAUAAGUAGCUAGUGAAAUCUGGUGGCUCAACCAUUCAGACUAUUAGCUAAACUGUUAAGCGCGAGACCGUUAGGGGUAACUGGAAUUUCUAGUGUAGGAGUGAAAUCCGUAGAUAUUAGAAGGAACACCAAUAGCGUAGGCAGGUUACUGGGACGGUUCUGACACUAAGGCACGAAAGCGUAGGGAGCAAACGGGAUUAGAUACCCCAGUAGUC